AGCAAAAAGGUACGCAUAAAUGUAAAGAUAGGGAAAAGGCAAAACGAAAAUGGAAAAAUAUAUUUUGCCUUUCGCCUAUUUAAAGAUUUUCGGUUGUAAACUCUGAUUGUUUUCAUUAUUUCAUUUGUCCACACGACCUUCGAUCUACUUUCAAAAACUU
rnacentral:ribozyme from 1 species